CCUUGUUUCUUGCAGAUGCCUCAGUUUCCUCCACCAUCCCCAAAGCUGUUUUGGCCAAUUGGCUAUAGUAAAUAGCCCCCAAAGUGUAGGUGAGUGGUGGAUACUUGGGGGAAGUUGAUGAGAAUGUGUAGAGAAUUAAAAAAAAAUGGCAUUAAU